UUCUUUGAAAUGGAUUUUUUUUAUAAUAAAAGCCAAUAAGGGAAUUUUUGAUAUGUUAAUUUGUGAGAAAUUAUACCAAAGGGUGAUGAUGUACUCUCAUGAAUAGGGAGAAAUCUUAAAUAUUCAUUUUUUAAACAUUUCUAAGCAUUCAGUUUAAAUAUGAUUUGGGAGUAAUUUUGAAUUUCCAAGAUCUAAAGGCUUUAUCAAGGGAAAAGCAAGCUAAUAACAUUUAAUAUCAAUGUGACAUAUUAUUAUUGAAGAUAUAUUUUGAUGAUAUGCAGUCAUUAUUGAAUACUUUGUGUCAUCUACAUCCUUGUUUCAAUAGCAAGUAAGUGUGCAUGAAAUUAUUUUUUGAAAUUCUUUUGAAAUUUGAUAAAGAUCAAUCAAGUAGGCCUUAGUUUUUGAGACCCAUAUGUUCUUGUGCACAUGUGCACAAGUAAAUUAUUGAAAAAGGAUAAAAAUGAAUGAAUUUUUAUUAUCAGUUGAUAAAGUUGUGCAGAAAUUACAGAUAGAUUUGCAUGAAAAUGAUUGAAAUUGAUGAUACACUCUCAUGAACAGGGAGAAAUCAUGUUCUUCAUUAUUUUAUGUUCAUCAUUUUCAUUUGUAAGCUUUCAGUUAAAAGUGAUAUAUGGCAGUGAUUUGGAAGCUUCAAGAUCCACAGGCUUUAUGAAGGGAAAAGACAUUAUUUACUCUUUAUCGCAAUGGGAGAUUUGAUGUUGGAUUGUAUAUUUUGAUGAUGUGCAGUCAUUAUGAAAUAUUAAGUGUCAUCUGCAUCAUUGUGUCACUACCAACUUUCAGUUAAAAAUGAUAUAUGGCAGUGAUUUGGAAGCUUCAAGAUCCACAGGCUUUAUCAAGGGAAAAGACAUUAUUUACUCUUUAUCGCAAUGGGAGAUUAUAUGUUGGAUUGCGUAUUUUGAUGAUGUGCAGUCAUUAUGAAAUAUUAAGUGUCAUCUGCAUCAUUGUGUCACUACCAACUUUCAGUUAAAAGUGAUAUAUGGCAGUAAUUUGGAAGCUUCAAGAUCCACAGGCUUUAUCAAGGGAAAAUACAUUAUUUACUCUUUAUCGCAAUGGGAGAUUAUAUGUUGGAUUGCGUAUUUUGAUGAUGUGCAGUCAUUAUGAAAUAUUAAGUGUCAUCUGCAUCAUUGUGUCACUACCAACUUUCAGUUUAAUGUGAUAAAUGGCAGUGAUUUGGAAGCUUCAAGAUCCACAGGCUUUAUCAAGGGAAAAGACAAUUAUUUACUCUUUAUCGCAAUGGGAGAUUUGAUGUUGGAUUGUAUAUUUUGAUGAUGUGCAGUCAUUCUGAAGUAUUAAGUGUCAUCUGCAUCAUUGUGUCAAUACCAACAUUCAGUUUAAAGUGAUAUAUGCAGUGAUUUGGAAGCUUCAAGAUCCACAGGCUUUAUCAAGGGAAAGGACAGUUAUUUACUCUUUAUCGCAAUGGGAGAUUUGAUGUUGGAUUGUAUAUUUUGAUGAUGUGCAGUCAUUCUGAAAUAUUAAGUGUCAUCUGCAUCAUUGUGUCAAUACCAAGUAAGUGUGUAUGAAAUAAUUUCAUGAAACUAUUUUGAAAUUCUAAAGGAAGAUAGAAUGAUUUAUCAAUUUAGACUUAGUUUUUUCCCACAAACUAUUCCUUGUGCACAUGAGUAUAUGUAAGGUUGUUUGAAAAUGGAAAUAAAUCAAUAUAUUUUCUAGAUCAAUUGAUUAAUUAAUGCAAAACUGAAAAAAAAUCUGUGAAAUGAAUUUUUUUAUAAUAAAAGCCAAUAAGGGAAUUUUUGAUAUGUGACAUGAAUUAGAAAUCAUAAAAUUAAGAAUUAUUAUUUAUUAUUUUUAUUUCAUUUUACGGUAGAACCUAUGUAGGAAAAGUCUUUGUCACAAGAUUUUUAAACUUCAACACUGGAUUUUAAAAGGGGAAAAGUUAAAUUAGUACUUGCUUAUCAAUUAGUUAAAAGCUCAUGAUGUGUUUCCUUUUUUUUAAAUGUAGCACAGCCUGUGAAACUUGGAAUGGUAGUUACUUACUGCGACUACCCAUUUGCAGUUAUUUUUAGGGGUACUUGUCAAGAAGAUAAUAUUAAAAAAUCACAAAAAAUACUUCUUCAAAGAUCGUUGUUUAUAUACUUUAUCAACUGAACAAUAUUAAGAAAUAUUUCUCAAGAAUUUCUUUUUUAUUCAAUUUACAU